rnacentral:rRNA from 1 species
AACGAACGCUGGCGGCAGGCUUAACACAUGCAAGUCGAACGCAUCCUUCGGGGUGAGUGGCAGACGGGUGAGUAACGCGUGGGAACGUGCCCUUCAGUUCGGGAUAACCCAGGGAAACUUGGGCUACUACCGGAUACGUGCGAGAGCAGAAAGAUUUAUCGCUGAUGGAUCGGCCCGCGUCUGAUUAGCUAGUUGGUGGGGUAAUGGCCACCAAGGCGACGAUCAGUAGCUGGUCUGAGAGGAUGAUCAGCCACAUUGGGACUGAGACACGGCCCAAACUCCUACGGGAGGCAGCAGUGGGGAAUAUUGGACAAUGGGCGCAAGCCUGAUCCAGCCAUGCCGCGUGAGUGAUGAAGGCCUUAGGGUUGUAAAGCUCUUUCGUCCGGGACGAUAAUGACGGUACCGGAAGAAGAAGCCCCGGCUAACUUCGUGCCAGCAGCCGCGGUAA